rnacentral:rRNA from 1 species
GUCUAUGGCCAUGCCACCCUGAACGUGCCCAAUCUUGUCUGAUCUUGGAAGCUAAGCAGGUUCAGGCCUGGUUAGUACUUGGAUGGGAGACCACCUAGGAAUACCAGGUGCUGUUGGCA